CCCGUGGCGCAGCGUCCUGGUCGUCAACCGCGUAGUCUGACCCGCGUCCUGUCGGAAGGAACCCGGUGUGAGUCCGGGGCGGUUCCGCCACUGUGAGGCCCUCGUUGACCGCGUGGGCCCAGCCAGACACUGCUGCCAGGACACCCGCAUCCAC
rnacentral:ncRNA from 2 species